UACUUGCGGGCCUAUUUUUCACAUUAGUGAAGGCUGAAAAUCAUUUCAAGGUGGAAGAUAAUUUGACAUUUCUUCAACGGAACCCAGCACCUGAAUAUGGCUGAGUAUAUUUGAUUUAAAUAUCGAUACUGCUUAGUGUUCUUUGUUACUUCAGCUUUUGUACUUUCUAAAUAUCUGCUGUCAUUAAUUGCCACAGAAGUUAAACCCUAUCCAAUGGAAUGAUGUUAAACAACGACUUUGGUGCAGAGUUAACAACUGGAUAAUAUAAAAGCUAAAAUAAUGGCUGUCAUUCCCACAUGUUACAGUAGAAGAUACUUUAGAACUGUACAAGGUUAAAAAGGCAUGUAGUUUGUCCCAAGGUGUCUGCCUCCUCACCCAGAGCCAGACCUCCACCUCCUCACCCAGAGCCAGACCUCCACCUCCUCACCCAGAGCCAGACCUCCACCUCCUCACCCAGAGCCAGACCUCCACCUCCUCACCCAGAGCCAGACCUCCACCUCCUCACCCAGAGCCAGACCUCCACCUCCUCACCCAGAGCCAGACCUCCACCUCCUCACCCAGAGCCAGACCUCCACCUCCUGUCAGAAGUUCUCCAGAACAGCGGAAAGGCCUGGCUGAGAGGCUGGGGACCGGAGGCUUGUGGUGCCAGGAUGGACCGGAGACUGAGGCUGGAGACCAGGGGCCUGCAGCACCGGACCAGAGGGUAACCAUCACCAAGCUCAUCUGAAACACUAAAAUCCACGACCAGGAAUCCAUGGCUGAAGGAGCUGAUGGAGGAGCCGUGCUGAAGGAGCUGAUGGAGGAGCCGUUCUGAAGGAGCUGAUGGAGGAGUCGUGCUGAAGGCCCUGCCUUGUGGAGGAGCUGGUGGAGGCCCUGCCUGGUGAAGGACGUCUGUCGGGGGACCAGGACUCUGUCUGAGGAGAGCUGCUGGAGGAGCUGAGACGCUGGAGGACGACUAGGAAUCGACCAACAAGGAUUCCUCAACGUGUUUCUGGAGCGGAGGCGAGCUGGUAGGGGAGCCGUGAAUCUGGAGGAUGACCAUCACUCUACCAACAAGGAUAACUUUAGGGCCAGACUCGCGCUGUUUGUUCCAGACCAGGACUCUGGCUGAGGAGAGCUGAUGGAGGAGCCAAGACUCGAGCCAAGAGGACGACAUCACUCUACCAACAAGGAUCCUCACCAGGAAUCUGGAGGACUGAUGGAGAAGCCGUACAUCUGGAAGGCAAAUCCUGAGGACCACCAGGACUCUAUCAUCAAGGAUUCCUCAUGAGUUUGCAUUAUCUGGACAAAGUGGACUAGACGCACCUGAGCUGAACCUCACCUGAUCCUGUUUGGUCGGGGGGUAGACACACCUGAGCUAAACCCGCCCUGAUCCUGACAUCCUGCUGGUCCCGUCUCCUCAGUUCAUCUGAGCCUCGUCCUCCAGAAGACCUGCUGAGCUCAGCAGUCUGAGGCUGAUGGAUCAAUGACCUCCAGUGGGAGUGAUCUUCUUGACCCCACAUGUAACCGUGUGCUUCCACACGCCUUUCCCUCACGUCUGUCACUAACUUCACUACUUCACUACUCUCUACUGCUUCCUCUUUCCUUCCUUCUCUGUGGUUCGAACCUUUACACGGAAGGCGCGUCUUCCUGCCCUCAGAGGGUUUAGCGUUAGGGUUGAGAGUCAGGGUUUAGAGUCAGGGACAGAGCUGGUCAGGGAGGACUGCUUUUACACAAACCUCUUCACUUGCUUUACGGAAUGGUGGUGACAUUUUGAGAAGAUUCAUUUGAGGAAAUGUUUUCCUCUGCUUUCCUUUACAAAAUUGUAUUAAACUUCUGUCAAGUGUUUUUGUUCAUGUAUUAAAAUCCCACAUUGACUUCUACAUGUUUGGUG